CCUCUGUUAACCGCUGGACAGACUUUUCAACACUUCCGGCUUAACAGGAAAUCUCCCAUGACAGUGCAUUAAUUAUUGGAAGAGCUGAGGGAGGCUCUCUAUCAGGCUGAUGGCCAGCACUUAAGGGUUCAUACCCUGUGCACCCGGGGUGAAGCCCCUACUAUAUGUGCACUGCAUUGGAAUGCUGAAUGGAGGCAUGCUGUUGCAUCCUCUAACUAUUGGACAGGAUUCCAACAUUGCCUGCCUCAAGGCAUAUCUCCCUUGCCAGUAACUUAAUUGUGGGAGAACUGAUGGACGCUCUCUAUCAGGGCUGUGGCUAGCACUUAAGGGUUUAUACCCAGUGCUCCUAGGAUGAGGCCCUAUUAUAUGUGUGCUGCACUGUGCUGCUGAGUGGAGGCACUGUUCAGAGUACAACCCUGCUGGGGUUUCUGUGAAAAGUACCUAAUACUAUGGUAGACUGAUCUGUUUGCCCUGCAUCCUUAGACUGCCUACUGGUUUGUGCCUUCUACAGGGGUAUCCCAUAUCAUGAUAAAACUACCUGCCUAUUUCUCUCUGGGUGAUCCCCAGGUAACUAAGAUGACCGUGCCUCGCACGCUUACUGGUCAAUGGCUGUGUAACCUACACAUCCUUCACCCACGUUCGAGAGACUGGUCCCCUCCCGAUCGCCUAGCUACUUUUUGCACCUGCGGCUUUGCAGCCUCUAGAUACGAUGUCCGUAAAUGCUUGGGUUCAGACAACCCAUGCCCUCCCCUCUCAGACGGAGUGGCACAGACGGCUGAGUUUGACCAGCUCUGGGCGAUCGCGACUACGCAAGGGAACCAGGAGAGGUAUCAAAGACACCCAAGACUAACUGCUGGACCCUAUCAUGGGUAAAAUACUGGACUACGCCAACACAGUCCGGUAAUGGGCUCCCGAUGUUAGUGAAUGGACUCAGAGAUGUCUCUUCGUCAAAAACCCCAGUGUUCGCCUCUCCUAUGUGAAGCGGAUGGUUGGCGGAUCUGGGGGCUAAAUUAUUGGGACCUCAGGCACAAGGCACACUUUUUUUCUGAGGGAACUUAUAGCACAUGUUUAUGGUCCCGCGGCUCUCAUAAAGUCCCACACCUCCAGGCGAAAGGUGUUAUGUGGUAAUCCCUAAGGG